GUGAACCUUUACUAUAGCUUGACACUGAACAUUGAGCCUUGAUGUGUAGGAUAGGUGGGAGGCUUUGAAGCGUGGACGCCAGUCUGCGUGGAGCCAACCUUGAAAUACCACCCUUUAAUGUUUGAUGUUCUAACGUAGGCCCCUGACCGGGGUUGCGGACAGUGUCUGGUGGGUAGUUUGACUGGGGCGGUCUCCUCCCAAAGAGUAACGGAGGAGCACGAAGGUUAGCUAAUCCUGGUCGGACAUCAGGAGGUUAGUGCAAUGGCAUAAGCUAGCUUGACUGCGAGCGUGACGGCGCGAGCAGGUGCGAAAGCAGGUCAUAGUGAUCCGGUGGUUCUGAAUGGAAGGGCCAUCGCUCAACGGAUAAAAGGUACUCCGGGGAUAACAGGCUGAUACCGCCCAAGAGUUCAUAUCGACGGCGGUGUUUGGCACCUCGAUGUCGGCUCAUCACAUCCUGGGGCUGAAGUAGGUCCCAAGGGUAUGGCUGUUCGCCAUUUAAAGUGGUACGCGAGCUGGGUUUAGAACGUCGUGAGACAGUUCGGUCCCUAUCUGCCGUGGGCGCUGGAGAAUUGAGGGGGGCUGCUCCUAGUACGAGAGGACCGGAGUGGACGCAUCACUGGUGUUCGGGUUGUCAUGCCAAUGGCACUGCCCGGUAGCUAAAUGCGGAAGAGAUAAGUGCUGAAAGCAUCUAAGCACGAAACUUGCCCCGAGAUGAGUUCUCCCUGAGACUUUAAGUCUCCUGAAGGAACGUUGAAGACGACGACGUUGAUAGGCCGGGUGUGUAAGCGCAGCGAUGCGUUGAGCUAACCGGUACUAAUGAACCGUGAGGCUUAACCUUACAACGCCGAAG
rnacentral:rRNA from 1 species